GGUGCCCAGGGGGCUGCAGCGCUCGGCGGGUGGAGGCGGCAGAAAGGCGGUGACGGGGGGAGCGACAGAACCCCCGCGGUGAGGCCAGGAGUCCGACGGGGCACCCGGGAGCCAUCGCCCAACAGGUCCUACGCUAUCGAGAGCUUUACCCAUGGAAUCACCAGCAUGUUCUGCUUACCUUAAACUUGCUUUUUAUCAAGGAGGAGACAUCAAAGAAGAGUAAAAGAUCUGGAGGCAUCUUUCAAAGAUUUUGUAGAGAUUGUCCAUUUAGUCACAUUGUGCUUUAAAGUCUCUUUCCUUUUCCAAAGCUUUGUACUUGUCACUUUGCCCAGGAGAGUUGCUGGGCCAAUCUCCUCAGGACAAUGUUCUGGCCUUCCUCUACUCUAAGUAUUGCCACAAAAACAGUCUGCUUGAAGGGAUUUCUGCAGUCCUUAACUACACAUAUACAAAAGCAGCCUAUGCUUCUUAAUAUGCUGUUUCAGGCCCUUACAUUCCAAUCUGGCUUGCAUUGCCCUUUAAUUAUCUGUCUUCUUAUUGUGAUCAAGUGAAUUUUUACUAAUCUCCACAUUUAUUGUUAAGGUAAAUAGAUGCUGCUUUUAAUCAGUAUGGAGGGCCAGACCAAUGCAGUUUGAAGUAACUUAAGUCAACUAUAAAGGGUUCAAUGUGUGUAUAAUUACAGAGGACGUCAGCUAUUCACUCCAGUCUAAUUCAGUGUCUGUUUAGAGACAGAGCUCUUCCUUUCCCCUGCUCCCUCUCUCACCUGAUUUGCUCCCCACUGCUCUGCAAAGCCGGCAAGAAGAGCACAGUGGAGGCCAAGCCAGCAGCAGCCCUCCUCAACUUCAGGCUGGAUUAAUUUAGUGGAUUGGAACUCCUCGGCAUUUUGUGCUUCACCGUACACCUCUCCAGAGAAGUGGGAAUCUUAAGCCUGAAAGACUCCUGAGGCAAAUGGUAUUUCAGUCUCAUUGAAAUCCAGCAAAGCACCAAGCACUGAACAAAAGCCCACAGAAAUUACAGAAGAAAUAACAGGAGAGACUUGAAAUUGCCUGAAUCAUUAGGAGUUCUUACCCUGCCAUGCAGACAGGUGAGUCCUCAAAUGUUGCUGCUGCUGUUGCUAAUUCCCUGGAAUACCUGACCCAUGAGACUGAAAGGGAA